CUACGCACUCCUACGGGAGGCAGCAUUGGGGAAUAUUGCACAAUGGGCGCAAGCCUGAUGCAGCCAUGCCGCGUGUAUGAAGAAGGCCUUCGGGUUGUAAAGUACUUUCAGCAGUGAGGAAGGUGGGUAUGUUAAUAGCAUACUCAUUUGACGUUAGCUGCAGAAGAAGCACCGGCUAACUCCGUGCCAGCAGCCGCGGUAAUACGGAGGGUGCGAGCGUUAAUCGGAAUUACUGGGCGUAAAGCGCAUGCAGGUGGUUUGUUAAGUCAGAUGUGAAAGCCCGGGGCUCAACCUCGGAAUUGCAUUUGAAACUGGCAAACUAGAGUACUGUAGAGGGGGUAGAAUUUCAGGUGUAGCGGUGAAAUGCGUAGAGAUCUGAAGGAAUACCGGUGGCGAAGGCGGCCCCCUGGACAGAUACUGACACUCAGAUGCGAAAGCGUGGGGAGCAAACAGGAUUAGAUACCCUGGUAG
rnacentral:rRNA from 1 species